UACGGGGGGAGCAAGCGUUGUUCGGAUUUACUGGGCGUAAAGGGCGCGUAGGCGGCCAGCACAAGUCAGUUGUGAAAUCUCCGAGCUUAACUCGGAAAGGUCAACUGAUACUGUGCGGCUAGAGUGCGGAAGGGGCAACUGGAAUUCUUGGUGUAGCGGUGAAAUGCGUAGAUAUCAAGAGGAACACCUGCGGCGAAGGCGGGUUGCUGGGCCGACACUGACGCUGAUGCGCGAAAGCUAGGGGAGCAAACAGG
rnacentral:rRNA from 1 species